CAAGCAGUGGAGGCUUGAUAAGGGGCAGGUCAGGAUUCAGGGUAGGUAGAACAACACCACCAAUUACAGGUGUCCUGAGGCCUUGCAAACUGUCUUGCCAGGUGGAACCAGGGGACAGUCUACAGAGCUGUGAUGACUGUUAUUUGGAUUGAAACUCCCAGAAAGCCCCAGGGGCAAGGGCAAGAGAAAGAAGGCUGGAGGCUUGAGGCUGGAGUAAGGAGAAGAGAGAGAAGCAUGCACCUGGAACCUGGUCAGCCCUACACUGGGGAGUGUGCAGGGGAGCUAGAAAUCUCACUGGCUCAGUCAGCCAGGACCAUGGACUGAAGGAGCUGGACUCAGACUUGGGUGCAGCUGCUGGCUGCUGUUUGAGUGCUCUAGGGAAUAAAGUCUUGUUUGAGGACACUUCUGGAGU